AGGGGAGUGAAAAAGAACCUGAAACCGUGUACGUACAAGCAGUGGGAGCACGCUUAGGCGUGUGACUGCGUACCUUUUGUAUAAUGGGUCAGCGACUUAUAUUCUGUAGCAAGGUUAACCGAAUAGGGGAGCCGAAGGGAAACCGAGUCUUAACUGGGCGUUAAGUUGCAGGGUAUAGACCCGAAACCCGGUGAUCUAGCCAUGGGCAGGUUGAAGGUUGGGUAACACUAACUGGAGGACCGAACCGACUAAUGUUGAAAAAUUAGCGGAUGACUUGUGGCUGGGGGUGAAAGGCCAAUCAAACCGGGAGAUAGCUGGUUCUCCCCGAAAGCUAUUUAGGUAGCGCCUCGUGAAUUCAUCUCCGGGGGUAGAGCACUGUUUCGGCAAGGGGGUCAUCCCGACUUACCAACCCGAUGCAAACUGCGAAUACCGGAGAAUGUUAUCACGGGAGACACACGGCGGGUGCUAACGUCCGUCGUGAAGAGGGAAACAACCCAGACCGCCAGCUAAGGUCCCAAAGUCAUGGUUAAGUGGGAAACGAUGUGGGAAGGCCCAGACAGCCAGGAUGUUGGCUUAGAAGCAGCCAUCAUUUAAAGAAAGCGUAAUAGCUCACUGGUCGAGUCGGCCUGCGCGGAAGAUGUAACGGGGCUAAACCAUGCACCGAAGCUGCGGCAGCGACGCUGAUGCGUUGUUGGGUAGGGGAGCGUUCUGUAAGCCUGUGAAGG
rnacentral:rRNA from 1 species